rnacentral:rRNA from 1 species
GAUGAACGCUGGCGGCGUGCCUAAUACAUGCAAGUCGAGCGAACGGACGAGAAGCUUGCUUCUCUGAUGUUAGCGGCGGACGGGUGAGUAACACGUGGAUAACCUACCUAUAAGACUGGGAUAACUUCGGGACACCGGAGCUAAUACCGGAUAAUAUUUUGAACCGCAUGGUUCAAAAGUGAAAGACGGUCUUUCUGUCACUUAUAGAUGGAUCCGCGCUGCAUUAGCUAGUUGGUAAGGUAACGGCUUACCAAGGCAACGAUGCAUAGCCGACCUGAGAGGGUGAUCGGCCACACUGGAACGGAGACACGGUCCAGACUCCUACGGGAGGCAGCAGUAGGGAAUCUUCCGCAAUGGGCGAAAGCCUGACGGAGCAACGCCGCGUGAGUGAUGAAGGUCUUCGGAUCGUAAAACUCUGUUAUUAGGGAAGAACAUAUGUGUAAGUAACUGUGCACAUCUUGACGGUACCUAAUCAGAAAGCCACGGCUAACUACGUG